GUUGACAAUAAAGAAAGCAAAAAAAAAAGUGGUAUGUAAAAGUUAACAAAAAUGGAAUUAUUUAUGAUUUAAGUGGGGUCAUGAAAAAGUAAAAAAUAAUAAACAAUUGGGGGAGUGAGUGUACGUUACCAAAGAUGGAAUUAUGACUCCUAAAAAAGUAUCACCGUGAAUAUUAAUUGUGACUACUAAAAAAAUACGGAGGGUUGUGAUAGAUUCUGAGAUAUUGUAGUAGUGUAAUCUGUAUUAGAUAAGAGUUCAUCCAAAAAAGUUCAUGACGUUGUAAUUAAUUAAGUAUUAAUAUAAUGUAGGGAGUUAUUAAGAUAAUUUUGAGGUAUUAUUUCAAGCGUGUUGCCUAAUUAGCAAAUUUAAAUGCACUUGUAAUCUUGAUUGUUUAAACAUAUGCUAAUAUGCAUGCAGUGACAAAUUUAGAAAUUUCACACAAACAUGUUGUCUAAUUGCAUUAUAACAAUGUUUUUUAUGUUAUAGAAAACAACUUAAUUAAUAUGAAUAGUAAAAUUAAUAAAUGUACGUAGCUCCAACACGUGCAUGGCACGUGCUUUUCACUAGUUUUAUAAAUGCAGCUUUUUUUUUUGCUAACCUGACCUGUUAACACCCAUAAUUUUAUGGGAAUUUGAGUUCGAGUUGGAAAAUCAUACUCAAAAUCCAAAAAAUUGGCUCGGGCUCGAGUUUGGUGUCUGGGUCGGUUGAUCUUUGACGGGUCUAAUAAUCCUAAUUGACGUACAAGAAUUUUCAACGCGUUCCUUCCACCCUACUCUCCUCUUUCAAAAAAGAUCGGAACUUCCAGAUUGAAUUUCCUGCUCCCUAAAAUUCUUAUAUAUAUACACCACCUAAACAUCACAUACGCCUCUCAUCAUUCAACAUUUCAACACCAUACAAACACGAAAAUUAUUUCACUUACCCCAAAUCAUAUAUUUAUUUCUAUUUCAUUUUUUUAUAUAGAAAAACUUAGGAAUAUUAUUAAUCAAUAUGAAUUCCAACGGUUCAUCAUCACUGAGGUUUUAUGUAUUGCCCAUUAUUGGAUUUCUUAUGAUGGCUCUUUUCAAGGUCACUCAUGGUCAAACCAUGGCUCCUUCCCCUGCCGCUCUUCCCCCUUCUAACGACGGUGCUACUAUUGACCAAGGAAUUGCAUACCUUCUAUUGGUCGUUGCGCUUGCCGUCACCUACAUUAUUCACUAAAUUAAAAUCGUAAUUCAGUUUAGAUUAAUUUUUUUUAUUUAAUUUAAGUAAUUAUUUUUACACUUUAGUUUAUAUUUAAAAUUAACAUGAAUAUUAUGUAUAGGUCCGAGAAAUUCUUUAGCUACGGGGGAAGAAUUGCAGUGAUUUUGUAUUCUUUUCGAGUUUCUUCUAAACUUGUAAUAAUAAGUAAAUAAAAUACGGUAUCUCUUUAUUUAUGAAUUUUA